rnacentral:rRNA from 1 species
UACGAAGGGUGCAAGCGUUAAUCGGAAUUACUGGGCGUAAAGCGUGCGCAGGCGGUUUGCUAAGACAGGUGUGAAAUCCCCGGGCUUAACCUGGGAACUGCGCUUGUAACUGGCAAGCUGGAGUGUGGCAGAGGGGGUGGAAUUCCACGUGUAGCAGUGAAAUGCGUAGAGAUGUGGAGGAACACCGAUGGCGAAGGCAGCCCCCUGGGCUAACACUGACGCUCAUGCACGAAAGCGUGGGGAGCAAACAGG